AAUAGGAGUUACCUGAAUUAAUUCCUGUUUAAACAAGGUGAUUCUUUUGGAAUAAAACUCCAUUCUUGAUAUAAAAAUUUUCAGUGAUGGAGAAACCACCAGAGCCCUGGAUUUGUUAAUCAAAAUGGCAUGAGCUACCAAGUCAAAUGUCUGAGGACCGGAUUUUAACUAUAUUGAACUGUCCAACUCCAAUUGGGAGUACAGUAAAUGAACACUAACUGUAUUACAUUAACAUACUCUAUUUAUCAAUCAAACAUGUAAUCUCAUCAAAAAAGGAUACCAGGUUAAUUUAGUAUUUAUUGACCCCUUCUCCUUUUUUCUGCAUUAUCAUUCUACCCUUUCCAUAUAGUAAUGUACUUUUAAAAGUUCCUUCUUAUGCUCCUUUAUUCUGCAGACUAGAGAGUUUUCUUUGUGUCACUUUGCUUCCCUUAUCAAUUUUCUACAAUUCCCAAUUUCUAAUAUAUAUAUGCUUUUGUUUCCCAUUUAGCUGGUGGUUGUUGGUUAAUUUACUAUACAAUAUGUCCUUCCUUCUUCUUUGCAGAAUUGUGGCUUUUUUGGAAAUCUACUGAAAUGUUAUUGAACAGUUCUACACACGCAUUUGCAUUUGUCUGUUAUAAGUUCAUUCUCCCAGCAGAUUUGCCACAUAGUUGUUUGUAGCUUUGUGAAACUGAAGUGAGCUGUAGCUCACAAAAGCUUAUGCUCAAAUAAAUUUGGUAGUCUCUAAGGUG